GUAAGGUAUACUCACCUGAGUCUAAUAAGUGGUAUAAUUUAUUUUUUUUUUUUAGCUUUGUCCUCUCAUUUUACUCCAGAUCUUUUGCCUGAGCAAAGCAUAAACAUUUAUUCCCAAAAAUGAUACUGAGAAGAUAUGAAAGCUAUGACACUGAAAAUUUAAACUUAAGACUGGAAAAGUGUGGAAAAAGUUCCAGGAAAUUUAAAAAUCUUUUCAGAAAAGACAGUACACUGAGCAGGAUUUGCACAUCAAGAAAAAGUAGAGACGGGAGAUGAGAGUCAAGUGUUUUGGGGGUAGAGAAAAAGAUUAGGCUGGAAGGGGUACUGGGCCAGGUGUAGGGGUGUUCAGAUCUGCGUGUGUGUGUGUGUUUGUGUGUGUGUGGUGUGUAACAUUCUCACUGAAGGUUUACUUGAAAAACUCCAGCCCUGUCUAGCCUGGAUUAACAGAAAGAUGUGUGUUUGCCCAUGGGCAGGUGGGGGGCUUGGGGGCAGGAGACCCCAGAAUGGGAUGUGGUGAUGGCAGCUGGGCUGUUGGGCAGGCGGGAUGAGCUGCAGAAGGAGCAGGGCUCUGGUUCCCAUGCUUGUCCAUCCUGCUGGCAUGGAGCCACCUCCAGGCUGUGGGUGGGUGUGGUAGGUGGGGCUUCCUUCCUUCCCCAAUCUAGCCCAGCAAUUCCCCAGGAAGCCAGACCCCUGCUACUGAUUCUUUCUGCACCUCUACAGGGAGAGUCAUCCUGUCUGCACCAAGGAUGGGAACAGCAGAGGAAUCCCACAGGCCAGAUCUUAGAAUCUUCUCUGGAAAUGAGGAAGUGGCGUGUCACCACCCAGUACCUUAGGAAGACCCUGCCCUGUCAGUCAGAGAUGGCAUCUUGGGUGACCACUCCCUGA
rnacentral:lncRNA from 1 species